GCUCACUUCGUCAGCACAUGCUAAAAUUGGAACGAUACAGAGAACAUUAGUAUGGGUGCUGCACAAGGAUGACACACAAAUUUGUGAAGCAUUCCAUAUUUAA
ensembl:snRNA U6 U6 spliceosomal RNA